rnacentral:lncRNA from 1 species
UCAGUAGUUUAUUUUCAUAAUGCUCAGAUGUAACAGGAGUUUUCUUGUUUUUACCUCACUCCCGGAACAAAAACGAAUAGAAAAACCCAAUAAAAGCUGAAGAACUAGGGCCGGAGCUAGCCAUGAAUUCAGCAGAAGCAACAGCAGCAAAUCAACACUUCUCAAACCUGUUCGCACUUGAAUUUCCAGUAAAGUAGAGCAGAGGAGUAAAUCUCAAGCUAGCUUUGUUUCAAGGUUGUUCCAUGAAUGAUUUUCCAGCAGUAACACAGCCAUUUUAGGGGGUGAUUUGAGGUUAAAUUUGAGCUCGCCUUCAGGGCUGUUCUAGCUAUGUUAUUGGAGCUCCACUUGAGCUGGUUUUAAUGGGGUUUGGGGUUAAUUUGGUUGUGGUUUAACACUGAUUUUGGGACAGCUUUUUAACUCAUUUUCGGAGCUGCUUUGAGGUUGUUUUCUGGGUGAAUCCGAGCUCGUUAUAGUAUGCUCUGAUGGUGUGACAUGGAGGUGGGUGCUAAUGGAAGUUUCGGGUGGGUUUCAUGGAGGAACAAGGUGGUUGUUAUGGAUUUUUGUGGUGGGAAGAUGAGAUUGAAGAAAAAAAAAUUAAAAGG